rnacentral:rRNA from 1 species
AUGGGGCACUCCAACGUCUGGAACUCCCACCCCAAGAACUACGGGCCCGGCUCCCGCGUCUGCCGGGUCUGUGGAAACUCCCAUGGACUGAUCAGGAAGUAUGGGCUGAUGUGCUGCAGGCAGUGUUUCCGCAGCAACGCCAAGGACAUUGGCUUCAUCAAGUACCGUUAA